GGUCCAGUGGAGCCUCAAAGAGCGAGGAAUGAAUGAACGAACGAACGAACACGCGGCUCCCUGGGGACCCAGGCUCGAUGUAGAGAUGGGGCGAGGGACACCCCACUGGGCAGGAGAGAAAGGGGCAUCUACAAUUGGCCACCUGCUAAGAGACCCUAAAACGCCGCAGUGGGGCGGUGCUAGGGGAGGAGCCAAGAAGGCGCCAAGCCUCCUCUGGACCCUCCCCAGAUAGCGUGGAAGCUCCGUAGUCAGGAAGGAUCUGGCCCAAGUACCGACCGACUCCCGGACCCGGUGGGCUCCACCCAGACGGACGCCCCGCCCCCGACCAACUAAGCUGGCCGCUGACCUAGUAUGGACAGAGCGCUGGGAAGAGAGGCGUGGAGGGCGACACCGGAAAAGGGACUAAGUCCCAGACACCAGCUAUGGGCCUCCCCUUUCUCCCCACAGAGGAUGCACCUGCUGCGGUGUGUGGAGGGGGGGGGGCGGUAAGGAGAUGAUUGCGCAGCAGCUGUAAAGCUCUCCAAGAGCUAAAAAUAUUUUGCAACAGAGAGAAGAGUAAGGAAGGUCAUGGAGAGUCGAUUUAUUGGGGAGUGGGUGCACUUGGUUAGACCCCAUACAUAAAUAAAGGGGGUAGGGAGUUGAGGGAAAAGAAGAGGGCAGGGUCUUUAGUCACACUGGCAUCAGGACCUAGAGACUGGUAAAAGAGGCUUCCAAAAGGGGGAGGGUAGAGAUGUAAUUCCAGGGGCCCAACCCCUGGAGUGGGCCUGAUUCCGGGAAUUGCAAACAGACUCAAAGGCAGGUAUGGGGUCUG